rnacentral:rRNA from 1 species
UACGAAGGGGGCUAGCGUUGCUCGGAAUCACUGGGCGUAAAGCGCACGUAGGCGGAUUGCUAAGUCAGGGGUGAAAUCCUGGAGCUCAACUCCAGAACUGCCUUUGAUACUGGCAAUCUCGAGUCCGGGAGAGGUGAGUGGAACUGCGAGUGUAGAGGUGAAAUUCGUAGAUAUUCGCAAGAACACCAGUGGCGAAGGCGGCUCACUGGCCCGGUACUGACGCUGAGACGCGAAAGCGUGGGGAGCAAACAGG